rnacentral:rRNA from 1 species
UACCUGUGUGACUGCGUACCUUUUGUAUAAUGGGUCAGCGACUUAUAUUCUGUAGCAAGGUUAACCGUAUAGGGGAGCCGUAGGGAAACCGAGUCUUAACCGGGCGUUAAGUUGCAGGGUAUAGACCCGAAACCCGGUGAUCUAGCCAUGGGCAGGUUGAAGGUUGGGUAACACUAACUGGAGGACCGAACCGACUAAUGUUGAAAAAUUAGCGGAUGACCUGUGGCUGGGGGUGAAAGGCCAAUCAAACCGGGAGAUAGCUGGUUCUCCCCGAAAGCUAUUUAGGUAGCGCCUCGUGAAUUCAUCUCCGGGGGUAGAGCACUGUUUCGGCUAGGGGGCCAUCCCGGCUUACCAACCCGAUGCAAACUGCGAAUACCGGAGAAUGUUAUCACGGGAGACACACGGCGGGUGCUAACGUCCGUCGUGAAGAGGGAAACAACCCAGACCGCCAGCUAAGGUCCCAAAGUCAUGGUUAAGUGGGAAACGAUGUGGGAAGGCCCAGACAGCCAGGAUGUUGGCUUAGAAGCAGCCAUCAUUUAAAGAAAGCGUAAUAGCUCACUGGUCGAGUCGGCCUGCGCGGAAGAUGUAACGGGGCUAAACCAUG